rnacentral:rRNA from 1 species
GAGUUGAAGUUUCUUCAAAAUUUCAUGCCAAAAGAAAAUAUCGGACCUGUUGAAAUUCUGAAUUUUUUAAAGCGGCAAGAUUUUUCCCAAUGCAAGUAUUGCAUAUAAAAUUCCGUUGACCAUUCCCGUGCCAGUUGCAUUGGCAGAAAGAAAUUUUUCUAA